ensembl:snoRNA Small nucleolar RNA SNORA65
CCCGCCACUAUGCCCGUCUGUCCAAGUGACUGAGUAUAAUCCAGAGGAGGCUCAGAUUGACCCGGCUUUAGGAAACAGGGCGGCCCAAAAAACCGGUGGACCGCUCUGUGCCGAAAAGACUGGAACACAA